CACCAGAAUUGCAUCCCACUGCUGUGGGAUAGCCUGUAUGUCAAAUUGCUCUGAUUGGUCAAUAAAUAAAACACUGAUUGGCCAGUGGCUAGGCAGGAAGCAGGCGGGACAAGCAGAGAGGAGAAUUCGGGGAAGUGGAAGGCUGAGAGGGAGAGAGCUGCCA